AGCAACAAGGCAAACAGUAAAUGCAGCAAUUAGUACUGAGUGGAAGAUUUUCAUUUUCCUGCUUAUGUAUUUCCUGUCAAGGAGGAAAAUAGUCAGCUAAUUGCACAGCCUGUUACUCACAGACUUAUUUCAGACAGAGAACAGCCUUCAGCCUCACAGUGGCAAAGCCAAAUGUUUAUUGGGGUAUAUUGGGCCAUAAUAGGUGAGUAGGAAAACUUCCUUACCAUUAACUGGUUUCCUUCUUAUUAAAACAAAUAGAAUACCUUAACACAAGGCUUUAAGCAUGUAUUUCCUUCUUUGGCCUAUUUAUUUAAAAUGGAAAAGAUAUUGUGGUUUUUGUUUGUAGGGCUUUUUGUGCUUUUUUUUUUCUCCCGCAGACUAACUCAUAAAUAGAGUAAAGCUGGGAACAGCAGCUGAAAUCUAUAGGUUGUUGCUAAUUUUCCCAAACUGAGGGUCUGAUCAAUGCAGUGUAUAAGCAGCACCUUCAGCAGCCACUUGCUAGAGCUCUGUUUGCUGAAAGAUACAAAAGCCUUCUUGCAUGCUGCUGCUACCAGUGCUGCCGCAUACAUCACCCAAAUAUGUAACUGGAGACCCAUGAAGUGACUGCGGAGGGGAGAAGCAAACUAAUGAGCUGGUUUCACUAAGGACCCAGGGAGCUGAUGGUUAUGGGGAGCCACCAGAUGGUGAACUGGACCUGCUCCGUGGUCUCCAGUAUAUUCUGUGAAAUUCUUCAGGGAUCCUUUGCCACGUGAUAAAGUGAAGCCAAGGUUCAGUUUGACAUCUGUUUUUGUAGGC